GUUGUUGUUCCUCGUUAGCGAGGUAUGGAGUUCUUACUGUGUAAGCAGCGGGUAGGAACUUCAUACCAUGCUCUCGAAGAAUCGGCA
rnacentral:pre_miRNA from 1 species